GACUGCUCCGGUGGAGUAAGUGGUUAGAGCGUCCGCCUCGGAUGCGGGAGGUUGCGGGUUCAAACCCCGGCCAAGUCA